UGCGGAUUAUUGUAAUAGUAACAUAUUUGGCUCAUGUCCGAAUGACAUAGGUGCAAAUCCUGUAUCCGCAUCCA
rnacentral:tRNA from 1 species